rnacentral:rRNA from 1 species
UGGGGAAUUUUGGACAAUGGGCGAAAGCCUGAUCCAGCCAUGCCGCGUGAGUGAAGAAGGCCUUCGGGUUGUAAAGCUCUUUUAGUCGGAAAGAAAGAGUCGCAAUGAAUAAUUGUGAUUUAUGACGGUACCGACAGAAAAAGCACCGGCUAACUACGUGCCAGCAGCCGCGGUAAUACGUAGGGUGCGAGCGUUAAUCGGAAUUACUGGGCGUAAAGGGUGCGCAGGCGGUUUUGCAAGUCAGAUGUGAAAGCCCCGGGCUUAACCUGGGAAUUGCGUUUGAAACUACAAGGCUAGAGUGCAGCAGAGGGGAGUGGAAUUCCAUGUGUAGCAGUGAAAUGCGUAGAGAUGUGGAAGAACACCGAUGGCGAAGGCAGCUCCCUGGGGUUNACACGUGACGCU